GGAGAGGUAGCGAAGCGGCCAUAACGCGGCGGUCUUGAAAACCGUUUGGGGGAAACCCCGCAUGGGUUCGAAUCCCAUCCUCUCCGCCA
rnacentral:tRNA from 1 species